CUCUCGUACAUCUUACGAAUCACUGAGGUAGGAGUGAAGGAAGGAGAAAGCUGCAGAGAAAAACAGUAUUAACACAUUCUUUAAAUGCCUUUCCUAAUCAACUGGCCAAACUACUGAAGCUGAAGAGUCCCCUUCUGGCUACAUGUGGCAGAGGCCAACUCCAACGUUCUGGUCUCUAGCUGCUGGAAGAAAAGCAACAGGAUGGGCCAAAUAGGCGGUGGCCCAAGUGCACCAUCCCAUGCUCACAAUUUCAUCAAAACGUAGAUUUAGCUCUAGCAUAAAGGUAAUUGAAGCACAGAAGCUUCAACCUACCUGUCUGCGGUGAUGGGGAUCUGCCUAUGGCAGCCUCUGCUUCAGGAUUAGGCUGGGAAGGGGGAAAGAACAUGGCCAGAAGCAUACCCUGCAACAGCAGCCCUCCCAGCUAGGAAAGGACAUUUCAGCGACAACCACAGAACCUAAAUUUCUCUAUACUCGUAAUGUUUCCCAUCUUAACCUGGCUACCAGAAAAUCCACAAUUAUGUUCUUAAAGGUAUCCUCAGCCACCAGUACUCACUAUUUGGGGUCAUUUGUUCCCACCUCUUUAUUGCCUACUUUUACAUUGAUGAUUUUAUUAUGCAUGCAACUUUUCUCAUCAAACAAUCCCAAAUCUUUGAUGACAGGAGACAGGGCAUGAAUUAUGAACAGAAAAGCUCUUAGAUCCUGCCUUCUGGGUGCUUAGUGCAAAGACCCACUUGAGGUCCUGAAGUACAGAGCAAUAGUCUUUUCCCCUUAUCAGCUUUGACUAGGUGAUAAAGGUCUGUGGGGGGAUGAAACCUAAAAAAGGUAAAUAAUGCUGUUACACGAGUCGGCUGUAAAACUUGACUUGUCACCACAAGUAAGCAAACCUCUCUAUCCCAGCCUUAACUUGUAUUGAGACCUGAAUCUGAAUUCGUGAACUCCCACCAUGUUUCUCUGGACUUCCCAUGCUCCAAGCCCAGUCACCUCACCUCCUCCUAUCCUUACCCCUGUCCUCCCCUGCUCCCCACUCCAAUUCUUCAUUUGUUUGAACAUAUCACACCACGCUGUAUGCUCUGGCCCUUACUUGUCUAUCUGCUGGAACACACUUUCCCCAAGGUAGGGGCUUCACUAGAACUUAGAAUCCUGAGUUAGACUGUAUCCUAAGAGGGGAGGGCCUAAUAAAUAGGCAGGCAUAAAAGUCUAUUAAAUCACUGACUCCUGUGGAAGGCACUCAAGGACAUUUUGGGGUACACAGUGAUCCAACAUAGGCACAACCAAACAGGGAGAAGCCUAGGAGUCAUUCAUAAAGGCAAAGGUCACUGACCAUGCUUGUGAUGGAGGCGGCUGGGGCAGGGGAAGAGGAAUUCCCUCCGUGCACAGGUGCUGGUGACUUGGUCACUCGCGGUUGCCUGUGAACAAACCAGUUAUCAGUGUGAGCCCCAAGCUACUCAAACUCCAAGUUCUAAAACCACAUAAAACUCAAGGCCAGCCUAGGAAGCAUCCCAUUUCCUUUCUUCAAUUCAAUUUCCCAAGCAUUUAAUAAGUGUCUAACAUAUGCAAGACCAUGUGCUAAGUUCUGAGGAAAGACAAAAGCUUAAUGAUACAUGGUCCCAGGCCUUGCAAGAACUCUCAUCUAGUGGGGGAGAUACUUACAAACCUAGGGCAAACAAGGAAUGUCAAUAUUAGGGUACCAACAAAGUACAAUGGGAAAAUGAGGGGUAGAAGGAAUGAGAGGAUACCCCUACGAUGCAGGGACUUUGCAAAAGCUUCUCUUGGAAGGAGCUGCAUUGAGUGUGCCAAUGAUAAACUACAGACGGAGAACAAUGAUUCAGGUAGAAGGAACAGGUACAGGGACUCGGGAAGGCCUUGGGAAUGUAGGGUUAUCCAGGGCUAGUGUGUAGUUUACUUGCUGACUAUUCCAGUGAGGUAGGCUAGGGAGGGCCUUUAUUCUGUAGGGCAGGCUGUGCUCCAGAAGGUAGGGAGCAACACUGAGUAGUACGGUGCCUGGCAGAGAACUGAGGCUCUGUGAGACACUGAUUCAAGUCAAAUAGAGCACCAAGACUUUGAGCUAUUUUAGGACCCAGUUACAUGAAGCAUUCCCCGCUACUCCUGGUCUCACACAGGGUUGGUCCCAGGCUUCCCAAAUACAAGUUUAAAAGAGCAGACUUCCCUUCUCUCCCCAGACAUCCUACUUAUUCUCUCUUAACUUGGAAGAAAACAGGAAACAGUUGAUGAUGACAUAAACAGGCUGAGACAAGAAUGAACUAUGUGAGCUCACUGGCUAAUCAAAGCUUCACUGCAUUUCAGCCAUGUCAGACCUUGUUCUGCAAAGGCCAAAGCUCCAAGUACAGUCAAUGAUUCUGGAAGUUCUCUGACUCAUAAGCAGAUGGGAAUCCUAAACUCAUGGCUUCUUUCCAGUCUGUACCAGGUUGAGUUUGUGUUACUCUUUGCCUAGCACCUUAAAUUAUAUCAUCCAUUCCUUUAUGCGUGUGUUUGAGGCUCAUUCCCUCAGCUGAAGCCAGAUAUAUUUCAGAGCACUGAAACCCCAACAUCAUACCAGUUAUCCUCACAACUCCGGGUCAACUGUGUUAAUAUCAAACCCUAGAAUCAUAUCUGAAAGAAGAUGUUCAAAAGCAUCAGGGCAAAGACCAAUUUUUUUAUUGGAUUUGGCUUUGACAAGUACUGGCAAACCCUGCAGACAUGAAUACAAAAUGAUUGUAAACAAACAGGCUGUGCCAGCAAAUGCUGACUUUCAAGUCCACUAAUUUGCAAUCAUUAAAUUAUAGGAGAAGCAUUAUAGUGAUGUUUCACUGUGAAAAAUUGGGAAUUGUACCCAAAACCCAACCACCUUGGUGAUAAACAGGAAUUUUUAAAAGAAAAAAGCCAGAAGAUACCCAGGAGGAACAUGAAAAAGUAAAGGAAGUGAAUAUAAGGUAUCUGGACAUUUUCUAAAGAUUUGACAGUAAGUGUUAAGAAAGUCAUUUCCAUAUUUUGAUCAGUGACCAACUUUGUUAGAGAAGCUAAGUUUUAUUAUAGCUAAAACAUAAGUAGAGACAGUCGCUUUUACACACCACUUACUAUAAAUGCCAAUUUCAAGAAGCUAGAGCAUUUUGAACCCAAAAAGAAUCUUAAGAGUUUAUCUAGUCAGUCAUUUUUUACCAUAGAGCCAGCAGGGAUACUCUAAUACCAGUCCCUCCCUCCCCUUAUGCACAUUGGUACUCAGCUGACUGCUGCUACAUCCCACAGCCUAAGCUAGUCAAGAAGAGGAGACUGUGAACUGCAGUCUGGUAUGUUUCAGCUGCUCUUUCUAGACUACAUUUUUAAUAGCAUUUUUAAGGUAACCUAUAUGACUGUUAGUUUGGUCCGUUAAGGGUCAUUUAGACUAGUCAUAUCCUAGGAUUCAUAUUAUUCUGAUACAGAUAUUGUGAAAUAUUUUUGCUCUUUGACAAUUACUAAGUUUUACUAAUCAAUGCUUUUCUUUCAUUACUUUCCACUUUUAUGGAAAUUUCCAUAUUUUUGUAUUUGUUUCACUCUAGUUUGAUUUUUCUUUGGAUUUGUAAUGAAUGCAUUUAAGGCUACACACUUUCACCUUAGCACACUUUUGAUUAUUUCACCAAGGUUUUUCUAUGUCAUGCUCCUGUUCAUCACUCUACAUAGUUUAGGAUUUGUUUUGAUUUCGUUUUUCUUCAUUCAAAAUACUUCUAUGGGGCUUCCCUGGUGGCGCAGUGGUUGGGGGUCCACCUGCCAAUGCACGGGAUGUGGGUUCGUGCCCUGGUUCGGGAGGAUCCCACAUGGCGCGGAGCGGCUGAGCCUGUGCUCCGCAACGGGAGAGGCCGCGGCGGUGAGAGGCCCGCGUACCGCAAAAAAAACAAAAACAAAAUACUUCUAUGUACCUGUUAUGUAUCAGGUACUGUAGUAAGAGCUGCAUAUCUAAAAUCAGCUUAUUUUUAAUUACAUAACUGAAAUUAUUUGCACAUGUGAUCUAAAUUUUCAUUUUGUACAGAUUUUCGUGGCUGUCAACUUCUAAUGUAUUGCAGUGCCAGUAAAUAUAGCUUAAAAAUAUAGGUGUAAUUCUGUCUAUGCCAAUUAAUACCCAACAUCUGUGGGGCCUACUAAGUGCCAGGUACUAUACCUCAAACAGUUUAUAUCAUUUGUCAGUUGAUAUUCAAAUCUUAUAUAGCCCUUCUUUUUCCCAAUUGACUGGUCAUUUUCUGAGCAUUAUAAUAGAGUCCAGCUGGUUAUACAGCACAACCAGAGCAUCUCUUUUUACUGAUCCCAGCUUUGCUUUUAAGUGAAUCUAUUAUAGAAUAUACACCUUAAUGAGUAGUACCUCCAUGAAAAGCAUGGAGAGAUUUCCUAGCCAGGUACCUUCUCAGAAUUAACCAAGUUUUGGUUGAGGGUGAGGGCCAAAGGAUAAGAUGGUGCUGAGUUCCUAUUCCUCCCUUUUAUGCUUUAUAGGCAGUAUAGUUGGGGGGAAUUAGGAGUAAAGACUGUUAACUGAAACUACAAAAAUUAGAAUUCAGUUUCCACUACUAACCAGCUAUGUGACUUUAGGCAAGUUAUUUAAACCUCUCUGUGCCUGCCUUCCUCACCUGUAAAACAGAAACAGUAGUAAUCUAACUUACAAGAGUUUUGUGGGGAUUAAAUGACUUAUUGGAUACAAAGCCUAAAACAAUCAGCACUGUAUGCAUGUUACCUAUUAUUAAAAGUUUAGUUUUGAAUUCUUCCUCUGCCUAGUUACACAGGUAAGUUUCACAGGUACUCACAUUUGGAGCCAAGUACAGGCCUCUAAAUUUUGACCUUUUGCUGUGAAAACUUUUUACAAUAAGAUUUCCAUCUGUCUUCUAGGAGAAUGCAAAAAAAAAAAUGUCACUAAACACAGCUGGUAUAAAAAUAAAAAAUUACUGUCCCCUCAAAAGCUAAGAAUUUGAGAGGGUCACUCAGUUUUACAUCAAGUAAAUUAAACUCAUAUCUGGAUGCAACCCUUCCACUCAUAGUGAGCCAAAGGACUACUGGCCACCUCACUGUAAGUGACGUAUCUGGCUAGAGGACUUAGUUAAAACUGUGCUAGAACUUAAGGAGCAAAACCACGCAGCUGCUGGUUGAUCUGCAGCUGCCCUCCACAUAUUCCUGAACAGUGCUAUAGAAAAGUGUGGUCUUGGGCCAAGCUGGUCCACAAUGAGGUAAGCUGAGAGUCGGAGUAAAUGCUUAGCAACUUUUAUAGCAACUGGGCAUUGCUGUGAUAUUUGUACUUUAUACUAAGGUACUGGUCCUCAAUGGAUUGGAAAUAAAACCUGGCCUUCACCAUAGAGAAUUUGAGAAGUACUGCCCUAGAACUCACCUGUGGCCCUGUACCUAUCAGUGCUAUGCAGUGUCUGCUCACCUAUUCCAGGUGGCCAUCUUUUAGGCUUUUGGGGGCAGGCAAAUGACAAAGGCAUGCCUCUCUGUCAUGCCCAGCUUUGUCCACUCAUGCAAUGAUCAAACAAGAAGCAGUUACAGUUAAGGAGUAGAGUAAGUUAAGUUAGAACCACUAGUUCUAAAGGACUGGUCAAACUUACUUGCUGUAUUUCAUGUCCUGUAAAGAACAUCUGGGACGUACAGAUGCUUUUGGUCAAAUGGUUUUUAAAAUUCUAUUUCAUCAGUCCUAUGCACUCUUUCAGCAACCACAGAAAAAUCUCAAUUCUGGGGGCACAGGCCACAGUUUUAUCUUUUCUCCAAAAAUCUGAUGAGGCAUUACUAAUCCCUAAAUGGCCAAAGGGGACAGGAGCAAGGGCAGGUACCAAGUGAAGAUUUGGGAUGUCUUACCGUUUCUACUUUAAAAGUCGAGAAAGAUUAGACCUCAACAGUUUAACAGCAACAGUGAUAGUAUCCCACAUUCCUUUUCAUGAAAGGUUUUCGGAACCAUCACAUCACACAGGUACCACCUAACCAGCCUUACCCAAGGAAUGCAGAUCAGUAUGAUACUGAUCAGUAAUAAAAAUCCACCUCCACAAUAAGGCUCUAUAGCAAACACUUAACAACUUAAAAAUAAAAGCAAUGUUCUUAAACAUCUGAAGAAUUCUUAAUCCAAUGCUAACAACCUGGAAAAAGUUAACUAGUAUAGAAUUCUCACUUAGUCAUUUCCACUUAGCCUCUCAAAACGAAGCCAACAAAAAUUCAAAUAAUAUUUAAGAAUAAAAGCC